UUUCGUUGCGGCUGCGUAGGCUGAUCAUAUUUCUAUUAUGUGUUUCAAUUAAAUACUUUUGUAUGUCUAUUGAGCAUGAAAUAACUAAGCUUGUAUUAUUAAAACCUGCGUGAUUGCCAUUUUUAUAUAAAUUGCAUUGAAUACAAAUUGUCAACUAUUGCAGAAUCGAAAAGAAUACUUCCUGUUUUUAAAAGCAAAACGUAAAAGACGUGAUUUCGAAAUAAUUGUAAUAGCAUAAAAAUAUUAUAAUCAGCUGAAAGUGUAUAAUGUUACAUGGCGUGUUGGAAUGAUGAUUAGAGAUAAAUUCAAAAGAGAUCUUGAUGAAGCCAUCAAAUUGCGUCGCCGUUUACAAAGUGAGACAUUUGAUUGGCGCCAUUUGCUUCCGCACAAUUGAUGAGCUGUUGCUGAAAAGAAAGAAGAAGAAAAACACUGUGCUGCAAUAGCCAACAAUUUCUUUUGUUUUCAAUUGUUGCAAUUGUACAGCCGCCGCCUGGGAUCUUUCACAAAACUUACGCAGUGUGCUGGAAUGUUGAUGGAUCUUCGUGAGUAAAAAUAGCAACAAAAGCAAGGCACACGUGCGGCGGCUAUUACACAAAUGCUCAUUUAAUAGAUGCCCAAACAUCAGGCACAUCCAUAAUUCGGAUAUUACACAACUCGUGCAACUAGAAAAAAAAGAAGGAGAAGGAGAAGGAGAAGAAAGGCAACCACCAAAUAAACAAGGUUUGCAAACAAAAUUAAAUUAACAAAUUGUUGCCCCAAAGGUAUUUGCAAAUGGUGUCAAAACGUUGUAAGCAUCACAAGAGACACAUCAAUCCGACGGAGGGCAGAAGCUGAGGUGGAACAGCUUAUGGAUUGGCAGCUAUAAAGAUCACAUAAGCAGCUCAACUGGUAAGAUUUCUGCUAAUUGAUUGGUGAAUGGAAUAAAUACUUCGAUGAUCGCUUGAUGAAUAUAAUUUUUAGUUAAAUUAGAUAAUCGCUCGUAAAUUAGGAUCGAUGGCUACAAAGAUCUGUGAAAUUUUUAUGAUAUAAGUGCGACGAGCAGCUCAUCUGGGUUAGAAUAUCGAAUGAGUGGAAUAAAUACUAUCGAUAGCUUUGAUGAUUUUAAAUCGGGACUGUAUAUUAAACUCAUUUAAUAGAUGUAUAUAAUGUUAAAUAUAUAGAAUAUUAGAGAAGUAACUCUUACGAAGUCAAGCCUAGAUUACACAUACAAAGUGUUACCUGCUCUGCAGAACAUAAUUAUGAAAUGGAUAUUAUAAAGCUUCAAGUGUAGGCUCUGAGUACAUCUUGGUCUUUUUUUAGUUUAUAUGAAACUAAUAUACUAUAUAGUAAGAAAAUAUGCAAAAAUCAUAGCCAGUAAUCUUAUCACAGUAUUAUAAAGCAAAUCAAAAUUAUAUUCAAGUGAAACAAAUUGAAACCCUGCACAAUAUCUAUUUAGCAGUCAGAGCAUGAAUAUAUUUUACUGCGUGCCUAAAAGUAUGCUAUCUUUUUAAUUUUCGUAAAGCGACAAAAAGCUUAACCCUUAUUAGGUGCCGCAUGGCUCAUUUUAUCCCAUAGCAUAAUCCAUUUAAAAAGAUUGUAGCCAGCAACAUCUUUGUCUGUAAAAUUAACAUAUAUAUAAAUAAAGUAUAAUAAUAAAUGCGUAAGUUUUUGAGUACAUAAUUUUUUUAAAUUUAUUUUUCAAUUAUUGUAAUUGUAUUGAUUACAUGUUGUUGGUUUUCAUUCUGGUUUCUACACCAUUAAAUAUGAUUCAUUAAUUAAAAAUUGAUAUAUUGGUUUAUAAUUAAAAGUAAUUUUUGUUUUUGUUUUUUUUUUUUUUUUUUUUUUUUCUUUUUCAUAUAUGUAAUUUAAUACUAAACUUUAAAUUCGAAACUCACUUUGUAAAUAAAGUUUUGCAUUUUUAAUUUUUUUUUUUUUUAAUUUUUUAAAAUUGAAUAAACGUCACAUAAUACAUAAAA